rnacentral:tRNA from 1 species
GGGCUCGUGGUGUAGCCCGGUCUAACACGUCUCCCUGUCACGGAGAAGAUCGCCGGUUCAAAUCCGGUCGAGCCCGCCA